UCGUUUUACAAUGUCGUAGGAAAACACAUACAGGUAAUACACUCAGGUAACAUCCCUGUGUAUAUAGGUAGUAUGUACACUAGACAGCGUCGUUCCCUCGGGGCUUCUCAUCCGCUUCGAGUAAGCUCCACUCCACACCAAACUUGAGGAAAACCGAACGGUAACACAGACAUCUGAAAACUUGAAGCUUGGCAACUUGCUGAUUAAAAUAAGUUAAUUUCUGUGUUGUGUGUUCAAAUAUUUUAAGGGCCCAUAUUUGUGUUUGUGUUUUAUUUGAACCGGAGAAAUCUGAAAUUUGUUUAUGUUCAUUGACAUGAUUUUAGUAAUUUUCGAAAAGAGCAGAAAAUAGAAA